CCCAAAUCAACACUCAAAAAUUAAAGCCCUCACCGGCCACAACCUCCAGCCCCUCUCUUCUCUGUUCACUAACAGCGUCUCAGCGACAGUGGCGCAGUGCGAACGGAGCAGCAAGACUCUCGUCCGACGUUUCUCAGUCUCUCAGCGGGAAGACUGAUUCCUUGCAAUUUUCUUAAUCAGUUUGAAGUUUUGAUUCUCCUGUUGGAACUGAAGUGAAGUUUUAUGACCCACGGAAGGGUUUGUGGAAGAAGAUCAAUUUUUCUUUUCAAUGGAUCCCAAAUAUGCAGGAGAAACUUUGAAGUAAUUGCUCUUUUGAGUUUUUUUCAACUUCUUUGUAUUGUUCUGUUUCUGUGCAGUAUGUUUUUUUUUUAAAGUUUUGUAUGUGAGUUUUAGUUUUUCUUUUUAUAUUUCUGGUGUAGGCAUCUAGAGAAAGAAAGUGAACUACUCUUGAAUGCCCAUAAAGCAAUGUCAGAUGAAUUGCACAGGCUUCAGGUAUUUAGCUCUUUACGCUUGUUUAUCAGACAGAUGGGACUUGCUCCCUGAAUCAUUAAGUUUCAUUAGUUGGUAUGUAAUUGAACGGAAAUAUACUGGUGAUAGACAACAUUCAGUUCACGCUUCAAUCUGCUGACUUGGCAACAAAUUUGCACAGCCCAUAAGCAAUUACUGUACAAUCUUGCAAGAAAGAGUAUCACCUAGGUUGCAAGACAAUAGAAUCUCUUAGGUAUUUCCAAGUAAAAUUGUUAAGACAUCGAGAUAUGAGACUAUAGUUACAUAUCCUAGGUUGCAUUUAGAUGUAUAGAAUGGAGAUAAAAGUGGUUUGUGUGAUUCAUGUGCACCAUGUUAUUCGCUGUAGAAUGGUUGUUACUAUAGUGGUGUUAUUGGUGAUACUGUGGGUUUAGUUAAGUUGAAGAAUUCCGCUGCCCAUAGGAAGAUGCUCUUAAAGACCAUAGGGUUCUUUUUGCUAUAGAAAUGGUUAUUUUUUCUGUUCACUCUACACUACGGUCAGGGCAGCUUAUGUUAGCUGGUUUCAGAGGCCCUAUUAACUCUACAAUGGUAGAAAAAUGUGGUAUCUUCUGGAUGGGAAUUACAGCAGGAGCAAGUAAGCAAGUAUUAGAGCUUCUACUUUAAGUUACAAUUUAACUAUAAAAUGUCUAUUUUACUCUUAAUGAAAUGAUUUACCGCCACACAAAUUUCUAUCACUCAUUUUGGACCACUAGUUGUAAAAGUCUUCAUUUCUUUCUUAAAGUUUGUGCCGAGUCAAACUACCCCACAUAAAAUGGGAUAGAUUACUUUUGGCAUCCAAGGGUGUAGCCUAGUGGUCAAUAAAGUGGGUGAGAGCUAUGAGGUCUCAUGUUGGAAUCCCAGCGAAGACAAAAACACUAGGUGAUUCUUUCCAUCUGUCCUAGCCUUGGUUAACAGGGUUACCUAGUGCCUUGCUUGUGGGAGGUGGAAGGUAUCCCGUGGAACUAGUCGAGCAUGGUCAUCCAAACAAAAUAAAGAAUAAUAAUUAGUACUUUUUAGAUAAGUUUGUACCUAUAUAAGAAUGAUAUUGAAAACUAAUACAUAACCUUCUAGUUCUGAAUCUUAGAUUCACUCUAUGCAUGUUGUGAAGCCCAUUUGAUCUUUUCAUCAAGACGAGUGAAAGUGGGCCAUAUAAAGGCUGGUUUAUGUCUAACAAAAUUGUGGUUUAGGCUCGAUCUUUAAGAUACUCUUGCAUUUACAUGAAUCAUAGUUCGGGAAACCAGCUUGUGGAGAUUAGGAUAACAACAUUUUGACUAGGCCAUUGGGAGACCGAUCCAUUAGUCAUCGAAUAAUUGUUUAACUUGCUCUUGAGAUGGCAUUUGUGUGAUGAGAUAUUUUGAUUUUCAAAUGAAAAGCAAACAACAGAUUGUUUUGUUUACGGUGAAUUUGGUUUGUAUUUGAGUAGUAAAUGGCCAAAAACAUCCUUUAACUAUACCUUUAACUUAAAUUACAUCCUUAUAUUAUUAUUGUGAACAAAAAACAUCGCUGAUAAGAGAUUUUGUCCUCUCACCGUCUUCGUAAACAUAGAGGAAACAUUUUCUUUGCUAGAAGGAUUUGUGAAUGAAUUUGAAAUGUCAUUUGUGGAGCUUUUUUUUUCCUACGUCUAUUAGAGAAGUCAUUUUCUUCAUAUUUUAAGAACUUGUUUUCUUAGAUAAAAUAUCUUUCAAAAAUUUUGGCAAAUACACUAGGAGUUCAUAUCUUUUAAGUAUCACAUAAUUUUUUUUAUGUCCAAAAGACAUAUGUGCAAGGCUUGCAUCUGAAUUUUGUGUUCAAAAUUCCCAUUUAAAUAGCUGGGAGUAAAGGAAAUUUGGUGAAAGCUGUUGGAGAAGUAACCUACCAAUUAGAAAAUGAGAAAAUAAAGUAAUCUGGGAGUAGCAUUGGAUCAAUAUGAUUCUUGAUAGGAAAGCUAACAACAUAAUUAACAAUCUCAGUUAAAAAAAAAUAAAAAGGGGGGGGGGGGGGACAAAAUAAAGCUGAACAAGUCCCAAGUUAUAAAUCUUUAGGCCUUAAUUAGUAUCCCUACAAUAAUUCUAGCCAUGGAAUACCCUUUAAUGUAAUAACUAGUUUACUACUUGGUAGAGGAGAUCAGUGAGUGGGCAAAAUUGUUGUAUUUAUCAGGAAGUCAUGUGCUUCUAGUUAAAGUGGUUAGUUUCUUGACAGAAAGUUAACGGAAGGAUGUAACUUGCAACUUUUUGGAUAGUUGAAGGAUGUUUUUUGUUCAAUGUAAUGGCACAAGGAUGUAGUUUGAGUUUGAGGUAUAGUUGAGGGAUGUUUUUAGCCAUUUACUCUUUGUAUUUAGAUGUACUUAAUUAAGUAGAAAACAAAGCUUUAUCUAGAAUGCCACUGAUAUUGGAGGUCCUGCAAGAUGACUAUCGUGUAUGUAGUAGAACAUCAGGGUAGACCAAUGUUGCAUCAGCAUUCAAACUGACAUUAUGGCUGCUGAUAUUGUGACUACUUUGAGACGAACUCAUUAUUAUUAGCUGCUUGUAAAUUUUUCUUAGUUUUGAUUUCUUCCAUUUGCC
rnacentral:lncRNA from 1 species